AAUAAGGUAAAAAGAAGCCAUACGUUUUAUUACUUGGGGCGGUAGAGUUGAUACAGUACAUGAUUUUCAAUUGAUUUUAAUACAUGAUAGGGAUACUUCCACGUCCCCAGUUUUCUCCUAUAAAAAUCCUCUGCAGAUGCUCGAAGUUUGACACCAAACUUUCUUGACUAAAUUCUCUACAGCCUCAAUACAAUUUCAAUUACAUCUGCAAAUCCUCUUUUGCCAUCAAUAACAGCUCAGAAUCCCAGCUUUUUACCACGAGCAUCAGGCGGUAGUUCAUAGCUCAAAAUCUCAGCCCUGCAAAAUUUACUUCAUAACAAAAUCUAUCACCAAAUUGCUCCAGUUCAGCUUACACUAAAAUUUUUAAUUACAAUACAACUUUCCACUGCAGAUUUACCUCAUAACACAAUACAGUAGAACUCUUCAUCAAGGUUCGCCCCAGUACACUUCUUCUCAACAAACACUCAUGUUCAUACACCACAGCAUAAAAGCAUAAUCAUUCUUUGCGGCGCCGCCAUCUAGCGGCGGCAGAAGGCGAGGGAGAGAAAGGGUGCGUCUGAUGUGGUGUGUGUGAGAUGGGAGUGUGUAUUCUGGGUGCUGGUGCGUGUGUGGUGUGUGUGUCUGCGUGAGUGGUGUGUUAAAGGGUGGAGGAAGAGAAGUUGGGCCGGAGGCGUGGGCUUGUUUACAUUCAUUAGUGGAGUUAUUAAUUAAAGAGUUGGGCUGCAUUUUUUUGUUAAGAUUAUUUAGUCGAGUCCUGAAUCAGUUGAUUAAUUUGAAUAAUGAUUUAAUGGUCUGAUUAGUUAGACUUUAUAAUUUGAGUUUGAUUGAUUAUUUUUACGUGUGUAAUUAUUUACUUUAUGUGACUUUUGAUAUAAAUUUUGCAUGGUAAAUAAUGUAACAAAAGAAUUUUGAUAAAUUCGUUUUUUUUUUUUUUUUUUUUUAAGAUAUCCAAUUGAGUUUUGAAAAUUCGGGCGCAGAAUAUUAAGAUUUAGCAGCUUUUGUAGAAUCGUUAGCUCAUGCGAUAUUUUGAGACCUAUUAAGAUUAGAUUAUCUUGUAGGUCCACUUGAAAGAAGGAAUUAGCAUUGCUUUUACAAGAAGAGAAUUGUACAUCUUUUAUCUACAGGCUUGUUAUCAAGGUUGAGCGGCGGAUGGUGUCGUGUGAAGCUGAGGGAGGGUGUUGCUGUAUUUCCAAAUGAAUGUCAAGAAUAAAUUCCGCUACCAUAAUAUUCACUAAGGUGGAUAUUAUUUAAGAUUGACUAUUUUAAUAUUCAUAGCCUAUUUUAUCUGAACUCCAGUUUUCAUCGAUUUCCUAGCAAUUAUUCCUCACAUAUAAUAUUCGCUUAGUAUUAAAUGUUAUCUUAUUGUCUCAGGCCUCCGAACUUCUGAUCUUGAUUGAGAGAAUUUCUAUCUUAAUUGUCGUAUUUAUUAUCCUUCAAUUGCGACAUUCCUUUAUUA